GAUCAUGGCUCAGGAUGAACGCUAGCUACAGGCUUAACACAUGCAAGUCGAGGGGAAACGAUAGAGAAGCUUGCUUUUCUAGGCGUCGACCGGCGCACGGGUGAGUAACGCGUAUCCAACCUGCCCACCACUUGGGGAUAACCUUGCGAAAGUAAGACUAAUACCCAAUGACGUCUCUAGAAGACAUCUGAAAGAGAUUAAAGAUUUAUCGGUGAUGGAUGGGGAUGCGUCUGAUUAGCUUGUUGGCGGGUAACGGCCCACCAAGGCGACGAUCAGUAGGGGUUCUGAGAGGAAGGUCCCCCACAUUGGAACUGAGACACGGUCCAAACUCCUACGGGAGGCAGCAGUGAGGAAUAUUGGUCAAUGGACGAGAGUCUGAACCAGCCAAGUAGCGUGCAGGAUGACGGCCCUAUGGGUUGUAAACUGCUUUUAUAAGGGAAUAAAGUGAGUCUCGUGAGACCUUUUGCAUGUACCUUAUGAAUAAGGACCGGCUAAUUCCGUG
rnacentral:rRNA from 1 species